rnacentral:sRNA from 1 species
UCACAGGGGAAGUUUAAAUGUGUGUCUUUCAUUCAUUAUUUAAAACAUAUGUUUCAGUAGAAAUCCAUGUAUUUAGUACUGCAGCUGUAAAACUCUAUCCUAAAGCCAUACAUGCUGUCAUUUACGAAUAUUUUUCAAUAUGCAAAAUGUUCAAUUUUCUAAAUGAUAUAAUUUAACAAUUAAUAUGAAUGAUAAAGAAUGGUUAUAAAAUAGAAAGUACACGCAUUAAGUGUUUUCGACACGCGUUUUCUAUUCAAACCAAUAUAAGAUUUUACUUCUUAAUUUAACAAUACAUAAUUUGUACAUCAGACUAUUCGGAGGUGUAACAACUUUACAUCUCAUUUGAUAUAAUUUAAAAAAAAACACCAGUGAAAACUGUUGAAUAAGAAUGUUGUAUAUUUCUUUUUAACAUUUUAAGAUGAUUGUACGCUUACAUACGCGUUAUUUUUCAUACAGCGUAAAGUUUACUUUGUGCAUCUAAUAAUAUUAUUAGUUGUGUUUAUGAAUAUGUUUUCAUUUUUUUAUUCAGGCAUACUGUACAUUUAAGUUCUAUGUUAGAGCCUUAAACGAUGAUUAUUAAUAUAUCCGUAAUCAUUUAUUAUUUGUAAAUUAUUUUCGAAUUAAAUCUUUAAAAAAAUAAAACAUAGAAUACAGUU